GUGAAUCAUCGAAUCUUUGAACGCAAAUUGCACUCCCUGGUAUUCCGGGGAGUAUGCCUGUUUGAGGGUCGUUAGAACAAAAAUCGCAGCGUCGCUCUUUUUUUUUAAGGGUUGUGGCGUCGGAAUUUAGCCGUCUUUCAAAUGUUAAUUCAUGUCAAAGUGGCUUGAAAUUCCUCCAUCCUUUACCAUUAAAGCUUAUUUAAUAUC
rnacentral:misc_RNA from 1 species